GGGGGUAUAGCUCAAGUGGUAGAGUGAGUGCCUAGCAUACAUGAGGUCUUGGGUUCAAUCCCCAGUACUUCCA
rnacentral:tRNA from 1 species